CGGGGCGUAGCGCAGUCUGGUAGCGCACUUGACUGGGGGUCAAGUGGUCGUAGGUUCAAAUCCUAUCGCCCCGACCA
rnacentral:tRNA from 2 species